CCUUAUUGAUGCCACUGUUGAUACUAUUCAUGAUAUUCGUCAUAAAAUUGCCGCCUUCCACUAUGAGGAGGACGAGAAGGUCAAAGCUGCAAAACGCAAGGCUGCUGAAGAGACGCUGCCGUUCAUUUUAGAACGUUUGGACCAGCAAGUGAAGGAAAAUGACGGCUACUUCUACGAUGGUACUCUCUCUUGGGCUGAUUUAACAUUCGUUGCUCUGCUCGAUUAUUUGAACUUUAUGUACAAGUCUGAUCUGAUCGAGAAUUACGAGAAUCUGAAGCUGCUGGAGAAAAAGGUCCUCCUUCUGCCCAAGAUCAAAAACUGGAUUGAGAGACGCCCAGUUAGCGAAUUCUAAACUUCACGAUUGCUUAUGGUUUUAUAAGCGUUUAAAGAUUGCGGUCUUAUGGGCUGUGUUUAGACA